ensembl:misc_RNA Metazoa_SRP Metazoan signal recognition particle RNA
GCCAGGCGUGGUGGUGCACGCCUGUAAUCCCAGCUACUCGGGAGGCUGAGGCAGGAGAAUCGCUUGAACCCGGGAGGCGGAGGUUGCAGUGAGCCAAGAUCAUGCCACUGCACUCCAGCCUGGGCAACAAGAGCGAAAUUCUGUCUCAA